AAAUACGGGCUUAUUUUCGGCGGC
rnacentral:miRNA from 1 species